UAAUUAGCGGUAAAUACAACAUAUUCUUAAGUAAAUAAGAAUAUAGAUAAAAAUAACAAAUAAGAGAAAAUAUUAGGAUGUUAUUAUAUAUAAUGUCCUUUUCCCUUUUCUUCUUAUUUUGUUUUUUUUAUUCUAUUUCUUUUUUUACGUAAGAAUGUAUUUACUUGAUUGUAAAGCUUCUUAGAGGGACAUUGUGUGUCUAACACAAGGAAGUUUAAGGCAACAACAGGUCUGUGAUGUCCUUAGAUGAACUAGGCUGCACGCGUGCUACACUGAUAUAUAUAACGAGUUAUUAAAAGUAUAUCUUUGUAUAUAUAUAUUCUGUAUAUAUACAAAAGGUAUAAUUUUCCUCCACUGAAAAGUGUAGGUAAUCUUUAUCAAUAUAUAUCGCGAUGGGGAUAGAUUAUUGCAAUUAUUAAUCUUGAACGAGGAAUGCCUAGUAAGCAUGAUUCAUCAGAUUGU
rnacentral:rRNA from 1 species